rnacentral:rRNA from 1 species
CUUACCAUGCAAGUCGAGCGAUGAAACCCCUUCGGGAGUGGAUUAGCGGCGGACGGGUGAGUAACACGUGGGUAACCUGCCUCAAAGAGGGGGAUAGCCUCCCGAAAGGGAGAUUAAUACCGCAUAACAAGUAACUUCCGCAUGGAAGUAACUUUAAAGGAGAAAUCCGCUUUGAGAUGGACCCGCGGCGCAUUAGCUAGUUGGUAGGGUAACGGCCUACCAAGGCAACGAUGCGUAGCCGACCUGAGAGGGUGAUCGGCCACAUUGGAACUGAGAGACGGUCCAGACUCCUACGGGAGGCAGCAGUGGGGAAUAUUGCACAAUGGGCGAAAGCCUGAUGCAGCAACGCCGCGUGAGUGAAGAAGGUUUUCGGAUUGUAAAGCUCUGUCUUUGGGGACGAUAAUGACGGUACCCAAGGAGGAAGCCACGGCUGACUACGUGCCAGCAGCCGCGGUAAUACGUAGGUGGCAAGCGUUGUCCGGAAUUACUGGGCGUAAAGAGUGCGUAGGCGGAUAUUUAAGUGAGAUGUGAAAUACCCGGGCUUAACCCGGGCACUGCAUUUCAAACUGGAUAUCUAGAGUGCAGGAGAGGAGAACGGAAUUCCUAGUGUAGCGGUGAAAUGCGUAGAUAUUAGGAAGAACACCAGUGGCGAAGGCGGUUCUCUGGACUGUAACUGACGCUGAGGCACGAAAGCGUGGGUAGCAAACAGGAUUAGAUACCCUGGUAGUCCACGCCGUAA